AUCUCCUUCCGCUCGCCUUCCCUAUAAAUAGUCAUUGCUCCGUCCUCCAUACACUUCGCUCAAAAGCAGAAACCAACCUGCAGUUUCGGCGGCCGCAAAAAUCUUCGGCUUUGAGAUUACGGUGAUACUUAUUCAUUGGGAAGUAAAAGAGUGCCCUUAUGGAUGGUCAAGUGCUGAUCUGAAAAAGACACAUCAGUACAACACAAUAUCAUAAGCUAAAGAAACCAUCUGCCACUUAUAAUCCCUCCUUGAAAGCAAUCAAUUUCAAUUGUGGCAAAAAGGCGAAACGCUCCCCCCAACGCUCCCGCCGUACUCGACCCAAGUCUAUCACGAGGGAGAUAAAUCGCAGCAUCCGAGCGAGCAUGUGACGGACAAGGUAUAAUACGGGGAUAGGGGAUUUAUUCCCCAGCUGCCCGAGGAUCGACCCUGCGACCUCAUUGUGGCAACACCCGCCACAUACCAACUCGGAUGACCCGCGGGGUCAAAAAAAAAAAAGCAAUCAAUUUCAAGAAGAUACACUUGGUGGUGUUCAUUUUAGUGUUACUUUAUCUUAUCAUUGUGACUUUUUCCUGGAUUUUGUACAGAUAGGGUGGGUUUAAAUCUUGUUGUGGUGCUUAGGAGAUUGAUUCCAUUUUAAUGACUAACUGUGAGAUGAAUUAACCAUAGCUCAUAUCCUAGGCCUUUUUGGAAGAGCACCUAAGUUAAUUCUGAUCCCUGCCAUUUUCCUUACUAAGAUGUUUUGAACAAUUUAUUUCAUUUUGUUUACUUUAUAUUAAAUAUUUAUGCAUUUUUUGAUGGACUCCAAAUAAUUUUUUUUUUUUUUGGAAAUGGUUGUGUGCUUAAUUGCUCAUGAAUGAUCAAAUGUUGAUACAAAAUAGGCACACAUUAACUCAUAAACCUCACAACAACUUGCUAGCCCUUCAAGAAAGCAAUAAAUUUUGAAAGUGCACUGGUGGUAGUUAUUUAAAAUGGACUAAGGUUAUUGGCAACAUUGCUAAGUUGAUUUUGAUCCCUGUCAUUUUUUUUCUUUUUCCUCCUAGUGUCACUUUUCAUUUUUGACUUUUAAUAUUUUUUUUGUUAAUCUCUUGGUCGUGUUUUUUAUGCAAAAAAAGUUUCUAAUGGUUCUUAAUUUUUUGGAUAAUUAAAAAGGAAUGUGCUUAUGGACGGUCAAGUGUUGAUCUGAAACAGGCUCAUCAGCACACAACAAUAGCAUAAGCUAAAGAAACCAUUGCCUCUCGCUAUCCCUCUUUGAAAGCAAUCAAUUUCAUGGAGGGUACACUAGAUGGCAUUCAUUUUUAUUUUUCAUCUCCAUCUUUUAAAUAUCUCUGGACAACCUAUGUUUCUUGAAUUUUGUAUAUAUCAAGUUUCUAGUCAUAUAUUAUUGAGCAGUAUUAAUCAUUCCACUUCAAUUGAUCUUGUUCAAUGGCAAUGGCAAUGGCAAUGGCAAUGGCUUGGCAUAUAAUUUUAUGCAAGUUCUAUUAUCAUAUAUUGAUGAUUACUAAUAUGCCGAAUUUGAUCACAACAAUUUUUUUCUGUCUUCCACAAUCUAACAGCAUGUAUUAUUUCGUGUCUUGGUAUUUGUUGCUUGUUAUGAAAUUUAAUAGUCUUGAAAUCGACCAUUGAAUCCUCCUAUUUUCUCCAGCUAGUGGCUAGUAUUUUUUUUUUUGCAUCACAGUGAGUGGCUAGUUUUAUAAUCACAUGCUGCUGCAGCUUUUAGUUUCUUCUGGUAAUUUUUUCAGAUAAUACAACUUGUAAUUUUCUUUUUGCAACUCUUUUUUGCUAGAUACAUUCUUUUAGCAUAAUGUUCCAGUGUGAAGUAGUGAUUUCCACAACCUUGUCUUCUGGACUAUUAUUGUCUUAGAUUUAUGUACUAAACUUUGUUUACUCACUGCAUGAAAUUUUUCUGAAAGCUCAAGAACCCUGCAAGAAAUAGCUAUGGAAUCAAAAUACAAAGGGGAUCGGGCACUUAUCUUCUAAAUUCUGCAUCCUGAAGUGCUCCAGAACGUAGCUCUUUUAAGAUCAGAAAGAAACCUUUUGAUGUUUCAAGGCAGCUUCGACUAUUUCUUUCUUCAAUAAUCGAGGGAUAACUGUUCGUAAGAUUAAGCGUUUUGUUCAGAGAAUUUGAGUAUGUUGUUUUAAUUGUAUGAAUUAUAACAAAAUAAAGUUGCAGAAAUUUGAUACAA